GGUGCGGGCGGGGUCCGAAGGGGGGGGUCGCCCCGCCGACGGUGGAGCCGCGGUUCGCUCUCUGAGGCCGGGGGACGGUGACUGCGUUGGGCGUGGACGCUCCUAUCUCGCUCCCUCGGCGGCUCCUGGGACCCCAAGAUGGCGGCGGCGCUGAGGCGGCUGCGGGCGCUGGGCCGGCGGCGGCGGCGGCCACUUUCACUCACUGAGAGGAGCGGAGCAGGGACACGGGGAGCCAUGGCGGGGGGGAGGAGAGGCGCCAUAGCCAGGCCAGAACAAUCGAGCCGCUACUCAGCUACCUUACCCCCGCCCCGCCCACGCUCACAGAUCGUCGCCAGCCCGUGCCCUCCCGUAGUGCCGCUGCCGUCGGCCUCGUGCAGCUCGCACCCCGCCGCUGCUGCCUGACGCCCAGUGCGGACUGGGGUUCGGGGGGAGACCCUGAUCCAUGCCAUCCGAGUGCAGAUUGGUCGGGGCUGGGACUGGCGAAGAUUGCCGAAAGGCGACGGGGAGGAGGAGGAGGAUGUCAUCGCUAGAGUGAGCAAGCAGAUCUCGCGGGAGCAAAUGUCGCGAGACCUCUCCAGUCCUGCAAUCGCAGGCGAAAGGUUACUUUCCCCGGAAGUAACGUCAAUCGAAACGGCCCGGGAUCCUGGGAAUAUUCGUUUCCGCGGGCAGGCGAUGGGAGGGUGCUAGUCACUGAACGUUGAGAUCACGAGGGAAAGGUUAGGCUCGGUUAUGAUAUUUUAUCCUGUUUCUGGCUGCUUUGGGCGGCGUUGUACAUCGUUGGGAAAGUGCCUAUCUAGAGCCGCUCAUUCAAAAGAGUACAGUUUUGGGCUCCUCUUUACGGCUUAGGGACCAAGACCACGAUGCUGUGGCAUAGUUAGGCAAAUGCCCAAGUGAAAGCUUCAGGAUUCAAGGACUUAGGAACACACAGACCUGUCAACGGAAAUGUCUUCCU